CAGUCGAACGAAGCACUUAAGACGGAUUACUUCGGUUUGAAGUCUUAUUUGACUGAGUGGCGGACGGGUGAGUAACGCGUGGGUAACCUGCCUCAUACAGGGGGAUAACAGUUAGAAAUGACUGCUAAUACCGCAUAAGCGCACGGUCUCGCAUGGGACAGUGUGAAAAACUCCGGUGGUAUGAGAUGGACCCGCGUCUGAUUAGCUGGUUGGUGAGGUAAGGGCUCACCAAGGCGACGAUCAGUAGCCGGCCUGAGAGGGUGAACGGCCACAUUGGGACUGAGACACGGCCCAAACUCCUACGGGAGGCAGCAGUGGGGAAUAUUGCACAAUGGGGGAAACCCUGAUGCAGCGACGCCGCGUGAAGGAAGAAGUAUUUCGGUAUGUAAACUUCUAUCAGCAGGGAAGAAAAUGACGGCACCUGACUAAGAAGCCCCGGCUAACUACGUGCCAGCAGCCGCGGUAAUACGUAGGGGGCAAGCGUUAUCCGGAUUUACUGGGUGUAAAGGGAGCGUAGGCGGUUCAGCAAGUCAGAAGUGAAAGCCCGGGGCUCAACUCCGGGACUGCUUUUGAAACUGUUGAACUAGAUUGCAGGAGAGGUAAGUGGAAUUCCUAGUGUAGCGGUGAAAUGCGUAGAUAUUAGGAGGAACACCAGUGGCGAAGGCGGCUUACUGGACUGUAAAUGACGCUGAGGCUCGAAAGCGUGGGGAGCAAACAGGAUUAGAUACCCUGGUAGUCCACGCCGUANACGAUGAAUACUA
rnacentral:rRNA from 1 species